rnacentral:lncRNA from 1 species
GAGAUUGAACUGAUUUUGAAUCUUGGAGUUUCUUUUUCUCUUCAUGCUCCUUCAGGAUUGUAAUGUUACUGAGUUGGUUGCUUGGAAGAGCUUGGCCUGCUUUGCAGUCUGGGUAAGCUAUUCUUUCUUGUUGUUUUAUUAUUAUUACCAGCCUCUUGACCCGCACUACGUCCGUGUCAAUUUGCUUUUUUACAAUGCAUUUAAAAUUGACAUUUUACAUUAACAAAUUUUUUCCGUUUUAAAAAAGUUAAGAGUGAAUUUGUUUGUGAUUUUUUUUUCUGUUUUUUAUUUUCAAUUUACUGUUUUACUCAUCAUCUAGUGUUUUAUCCUCAACCAAUCACUCCCAUCUCUCCCGCUUUUUUCUCCGGUAAAAAAAGGAAUGAAAUUAAAAAAACAGAACAGACAGUUGUGUGGUUUCUAAAUUCCUGAAGUUUUAAAUUUUAAUCAAUACAGGGUAUUUUAGGUAGUUCAAAAAUUUAACCAAAACUCCUUGUUAUAAAUAUUAUAAUCUAUGUGGCUGUCCACGUAAUUACUCAUUAGUUAUGUACUCUGAUGUAAACCCUACCUCUAUAUAAAGAGGCUAAUGAAAAUGAAUGAGUAGACUUCUACCUCCUCCCAACUAUUAUCUCUGUGUCUUCUCUUUUUCUUUUCUUUACUUUACAACACGUUAUCAGCACGACUCUACCUUUGAGUUGAUAACGACUAAACCCUAGAAAUCCAGAAUUGAUUCUUUAUCAUUCACCUUUGCACCAUCGCACAAUUUUCUUUUGUUUCUAGACUAUGAUGAUUUGAAAAUCAUACGGUUCAACUUAAAUGUUGUUUUUCACCGGUGUUUUUGAUCUAUGAGUUUGAUUUGCUAGCUUAUUUUUAUAAUUCUUGAUGUUAAUUGUUCUAUUAAUAUGAUCGGCAUCAAGAUUUUCAUUUUGUAUGUUACCCACAUGAUCAUGAUCAUCAUUCCUUUGGUAUCUAAUACAAUUAGAAUUUUUUUUUCUUUUUUUUUGUACUUGUUUUAGUUCCAUGUUGAUUUUGUCUAUUAAUCUUGCCAUCAAUUUUGUCUUUAAUCUUGCCAUGAUUUUAGUUCCAUGUUGAAGGAACCUUCCUUUUUUUUUUUUUUACGGCAAUAGUGGAUACCUUUAAUCAAGUUUUCUUUUAUGAUCCCAAAUUGUGUAUGAAAUCUAGUUUGUAUUCAAUCUUUGGAUGAUAGAGACGGACAAACACUUACAGAUAUCUUUCCAAACUUCGGAAAGGCAUUUCCAUACUAGAGCAAAGAUCAAGUUCUUGCUAUUUGGAGACUUUUAAUUGAAAAAUCUCUCAUGACACAAUGAAAUCAAGGUAUGUUUUU